rnacentral:lncRNA from 1 species
AUUCUGACUCAGGGGUGACUCAGCUCUUCCAUGACCUGUGUUCCCACUUCUCCUUGAUAAGGCCAAUGUUUUGGCCCUACUGGUGAAAAUAUGUAGACCUAACAUCUAUCUCCCUGCUCCAGUUUCAAGAGAAAAGACCUUAUUCAGAGAAAUAUUUAGAAGACUCUUGUGGAAUUCUUGCUGCAGGGAGGAACUUGGAUUGUCCUUCAGUAAAAUUCCACUUUGAUGCGCAAAGCGAACUUGAAUUUCUGCUUGGCCUACCACAGGCCUGCAACAUGCACUUUCUCCUCGAGGGAACUGCCACUCACUGACACGGACAACAGUAAAGGAACUUGGUCUUCACUAUGCCUCAUAGUGGUGGGUCACACUGCCCAGGAGGAACCCGCAAUGAGACCGGCAAAUGCCUUAACCAUCUCAUUGUCUCAUCAGGAAGAAGCUUAAAUGACUCUUCUUGCUCACAUACUUCCUGGGCAAACAUGUCUGCUCUGUUGGGAUAAAGGACGCUCUAGACCAGGCUCUGCUGAAAGAUCCAGGGCAAAGGUUCCUGACAAGACUAUGUCCAGCCUCAAAUAAGGCCACAGAAGAGCCCAGGCUCGCUGACGAGCACCGGCUCCGAGGCAGUCACAUCAGGAGACAGAAACAGACAUGUUGGUGCUGCCCUCUCAGGUCAGUGCAAAUGCCACUUGAGGAGGGCUGAGAGCUUUGCAGCAUAAAAUGACCAGAACAAGGAGAAACACAGAUGCAAUGGCAAUAGCUGGCAAUUCGCACAUGGCGUCAAACACCACUGCCACAGAAGCUUUUUAGCUACAAGCCACGCUAUGCAACCUUUAAGCAAAACAUUAUUGAUUUUGUGGUUGUAAAAACAUACCUUCAACUGCAGAACUCAGUUUUAUGACACCUUGAAUAAAAACAAAAAGUGGCAGUUAUAUAAUGGACCCAAAUCGCCUUUUCCAGGCUUCUCAUAACACACGCAUGCUUCAGAUUUGGAUUUUUCUUUUUCUGCUGGCAUUGCAAGAACGUAACUAAACAAAUAUCAACUUCAAAAAUAAAAUAA